GUUAAGACAGAGCUGCAGGCUCGGAGGGGACACGCGCUAAAAAUGAAGAGAAUGUCAUGUCAACUACUGAGGAACUAUGGGGAAUUAAGCAAAUCUGAUUAAACGGACCAGCCAGCACCUCCCCAGGGACAGAUGUGUACGACUAGGACCCUUCUGAGUGUGCCGAGUACUGGGGACCUCAUGCUCCUGCCUCACCUAUUUCAUGACAUCUUGGGACCCAUUGACAGUCUUCCCCCACAUCCCACCUAGCAGCCUCCAGUCCAGCUUUCUACUUAGUAGCUGUGUGACCUCAGGCAAGUCGCUUAACUUCUCUGAGCCUCCAUGGUUUAAUCUAGUCUAUUUUGAAACGGAAG
rnacentral:lncRNA from 1 species